GGCGGGGCCAGGGCGCGAUCCCGCGCGAGCCGUGCAGUCCAUAGUCUUUAUGCUCUGUUGUAUGAGAAAGAAUAGAGGAAAGAAAGAACAGAGAAUGCAUCCAUGAGAACAAGGAUUGGAUUUUCCGAAAUAAGAAGCCUUGUCACUGAACAGUAUUACAUUCACAUACAGAAUGGAUUGUUUUUAUUUCCUCCAGACGCUGAAUAGGAAGAAGGAGGCAACAUGGAGUUUGGAUUAAGGUUGCCAGAGACAGUGGAAAUCAGCGCUCAUGAGUACGAGCUGCUUGCAGGGCCCAGCGGGUUGAGGCUUUCCUGGGUAACUGCUGGCAAAUCCAUCUGCUGAGACCCAUGGCUGGGUGGAGGGCUGUCUUCAAAAACCUUCCUGUUCUUACAGCUUUUUACUGUUUUCAACAAAAACAGUUUCCAUGUACAUUCUUUAUAAAUACACAGGAUUGUACUGAAGAAUGUGCCUGAUUUGUACUUUUCAGUUCUUCUUUGCCAGAAAUGAUCCAUAUACUAAUACAUCUGAUUUGUUAAAAGGGUACUUUCUGCAUGGGUGAUUUUUCAACAGUCCUAAAUGUUUUGCUCCAGUGAACACUGUAGUGGGAAUAGAGGCUAUCUCCCAGUGAGAAAGAGAGCUGAAGCUUUGGAAGGGGCUGCACAAGGGACUCUUGGUAUGAGGUCCAUGUGCUGAAUGCACCUGACAGCAGAACUGUGAGCACUGUUUUUCUAACAGAGAGCACACCAAAGCAGGACUCUGACUGAAGCUCAGUUCUGGUUGGCUGUUUCUCAAAGAAUUCUUCCAUGGUGCAGAAUUCAAUGAUGCAUUUCCCACAGAUAUUAGACUGCUGCAAGUAACUAUGGUAUUCCAUCAUUUCUGUUUUCCUCUCUAGUAUGGAAGCUGUGAUUACUGAUUUUGUUGUAUGAGAAGUACUGCACUUUCCAAAACUUCAGUCACCUGUAUUAAAUGAAAUUAAUCUGGCUGAGAACAGAAAAUUCUGUCAGAGCUACCUGAAGUGUCAU